CCUACGGGUGGCAGCAGUGAGGAAUAUUGGUCAAUGGGCGAAAGCCUGAACCAGCCUGCCGCGUGCAGGAAGACGGCCCUAUGAGUUUUUAAACGCUUUUUGACGAGGGUAAACACACAUACGUGUAUCUGCUUGAAAGUAUCCUACGAAAAAGGAUCGGCUAACUCCGUGCCAGCAGCCGCGGUAAUACGGAGGAUGCAAGCGUUAUCCGGAUUUAUUGGGUUUAAAGGGUGCGUAGGCGGUUUAGUAAGUCAGCGGUGAAAUUUUGGUGCUCAACACCAAUCGUGCCGUUGAUACUGCUGAGCUAGAGAGUAGGUGCGGUAGGCGGAAUGUAUGGUGUAGCGGUGAAAUGCUUAGAGAUCAUACAGAACACCGAUUGCGAAGGCAGCAUACCAAAGUAUAACUGACGUUGAGGCACGAAAGCGUGGGGAGCGAACAGGAUUAGAUACCCCAGUAGUC
rnacentral:rRNA from 1 species